CUCACAUCCGGGCGGGAGCUGCUGGGGGCGACGCGGAGAAUUCCAGACGGGAUGUGGCCCGGGGCGGAGAGCCUCUCUGCUGGGUGGAGGGUUGUGCGGCGGGGAGCAGACGCCUGGCAGAACUCCCUGAUUAAGUGACACGUGUCCGAGCCAGGCCUCGGCCGGGCAUCCACUGGCCGCGGGCAGGUCCAGACUUCUGACCAAGUAGUGGUAAAUGUAAACUUCCUGGAGCCGCUGCAUCCUUCCUGCCACCAGGAGGGCGGCUGGCAAAAAACCUGGUGAAAAGUGGCACAGCACUAAGGCUGAAACCCCUUGAGCUUCUGAACCAACUCACAACUACGUGCCUACCAGCCUCCAAACUUUCUGUUGCGUUUCAACUAUGAGGCCUGAGUUUACCAAUCUGCUGCAGUUUACAUUCAAUGAUGCUGUGUGGUCCAGUUUCAGUAUCACUGGUCUUUGGACUUGGGGCUGCUCCUUCAGGUGCUUGGACCAACCGCUGAGUGACAGGGGGGCGGGUUAGCCUACAGGCUGGCGACAGGUGAGUUCCUAGACUGAACUCUACUCCGACCCCCCUGAACUCUCCUUCUCAACUAGUUCCCAACUGUGGGGCUCUCCAUGGUAGUCUCUGCAUUGUCUGCUUUUAGCAGGACUCUCCCACCCGUGGUAUCUGAUCAGCCUCAAUGUCCGAUGGGGCCCCCCCUGCCCCAUAUUCGCCCAGGUGAUGUCUGAUCACCCCGGCCUGUCCUCAGCAAGAAUCCUGUUGGGUUGGUUUAGAAAGAACUGCCCCUCACUCCAGAUGAGUCCUCCUAGUAAUUUUUCACCCAGUGACCUUCCCCUGUCCGCCCCACACUCCUCGCCGAUGAAUUCCCACUCUUCUUUGUAUUGGGAAUGAGUCCCAAUCUUCUUCCCCUCCUGCAGAACCCCACUCUAGUGUCUCUAUACCUGUCGCAGUGGACCCCUUGAAUAAAGUCUGCCUUACCACUCAA